GGCUUUUCAUACUUUAGCAUGCAUCAGGAUCACCUGGAGGGCUUGUUAAACACAGAUGGUGAGGGCCCACCCCUAGAGCUUCUGAUUCAAUUGGCCUGGGGUGGGGCUCAAAAAUUUGUGUUUUCAAAGUAGGUAAUGCCGAUGCUGCUGGUCUCUGGGGCCCCAUACCUUGAGAACCACAGCACUACACUGUAGUCUCUCCCCACGUGUUCUAACUCAGUGCCUCUCAAACUCCAACGUGUAUUCCACUCCCCUGAAAAUGUUAGCGCACAGGCUCUGAUGGAGGAGGUUGGAGUGCAGCUGGAGUUUCCGCUUUAUUAACCAGCUCCCUGGUGAUGAGGAUGCUGCUGCCGCACUGAGGUCCCUACGCUGAAAAGCAACGCAAGACCCAAAGGUAAGUGAAAGGUAGAUGGCAUUCUUGUUUGUAUACAGAGGAAACAACUGGAGCUUGGGGGAGUGAAGACGCCUUUGGUUUGCUGACUCCUGUUCUGGGGCUCCAUGGUAAGUGGGAGAAAAGCACAGCCUCAUAGGUUCUUUGGGAAAUGCUCUGAAGUAUUCUUGGGAAUAAGGAGGGGUCUAUUCCCGGGAUGUAAAUGUCCUGCAAUGUACAAUGCAACCCCACCCCGCCAUCAAAUGAAGAUUAUCCUGCUAUAAAUGCCAGGAGCACCCUCAGGGAGAAACACUGUACUUGGACAACAUAGAUCUACAGAACGUUGCUCUUGCAUAUGGGGGCUUUAAUGGCUGCCCCCAAGAAUCCAGCUGGGACCCAGACAAACAUUUUAUUCAUUUCCCAAAUCACUAACCCAGAGCCAGUUUUAUGGUCAUAUCCCCCC
rnacentral:lncRNA from 10 species